rnacentral:rRNA from 1 species
AAUCAACGCUGGCGGCGUGCCUAACACAUGCAAGUCGAACGAGAAAGGGUAGCAAUACCUGAGUAAAGUGGCGCACGGGUGAGUAACACGUGACUAACCUACCCUGGAGUGGGGGAUAACUGAGGGAAACCUUAGCUAAUACCGCAUAACACCUACGGGUCAAAGGAGCAAUUCGCUUCAGGAGGGGGUCGCGGCCGAUUAGUUAGUUGGCGGGGUAAUGGCCCACCAAGACUGUGAUCGGUAUCCGGCCUGAGAGGGCGCACGGACACACUGGAACUGAAACACGGUCCAGACUCCUACGGGAGGCAGCAGUGGGGAAUUUUGCGCAAUGGGGGAAACCCUGACGCAGCAACGCCGCGUGGAGGAUGAAGUACUUCGGUACGUAAACUCCUUUCGAUCGGGACGAUUAUGACGGUACCGGA